rnacentral:lncRNA from 1 species
ACUGGUUCCUUUAUUUUUAUGUUUAUUUAUUUGGGACGGGGUCUGGCUCUGUCACCCAGGCUGGAGUGCAGUGGUGCAAUCACUGCUCACUGCAGCAUCCACCUCCCAGCGUCCACCCAUCCUCCUGGCCUCAGCCUCUGGAACAGCUGGGGUACAGAUACGCCCCAGCCCGAACAGGUUUUCACUAGGUUGCCUGGGCUCUUUCUUUCUUUGUCUGUGUUGGUUGGUUGGUUGGUUUUUGUUUGUUUGUUUCGAGACGGGGCUCCGGCUCUGCCGCCGGGGCUGCAGGGCAAUGGCGCGAUCUCACCUCACUGCGGCCUUCUGGGCUCAAGCGAUCCUCCCACUGUGCCCGGCCUGAAGACAGCCUUUAGAGAAAGAAGCAGGGGGAGUUCUUCCGAGGACAGACAAGAUUUCUGGAGUUUGGAAAGGGUGAGAGACUGGGUCAGCGAAAGGAACAUUCCGNNNNNNNNNNGCUCACUGCAGCAUCCACCUCCCAGCAUCCAUCCACCCUCCUGCCUCAGCCUCUGGAAUAGCUGGGGUACAGAUAGGCCGCAGCCCGAACAGGGUUUCACUAAGUUGCCUAGGCUCUUUCUUUUUGUUUGCUUGAAACCGGGAGGCAGAGGCCACUGCGCCCAGCCACUUGGGGUGAUCUUAAAUGCAUAGUCCCAGGCUGGGCAUGGUGGCUCACACCUGUAAUCCCAGCACUUUGGGAGGCUGAGGCAGGCGGAUCACCUGAGGUCUGGAGUUUGAGAUCAGCCUGACCAACACAAGAAUAGGUAAGAGGAAGUUAACAUUCAUUCAUUCAAACCCUGUGGUGGAAGCAUUCAUUACCUUCCUAAAUCCUUAAAUGCUUGUUUUGUUGUUGUUGUUGUUUUGUUUGUUUUUUGAGACAGGGUGUCACUCUGUUCCCCAGGCUGGUGUGCAGUGGUGUGAACACAGCUCAUUGCAGCCUCAACCUCCUGGGCUCAAGUGAUCCUCCUGCCUCAGCCUUCCAAAUAGCUGGGACCACUGGUCUGUGCUACCACGCCCAGCAAAUUUUUAAAUUUUUUACUAGAGAUGAGGGUUCCCUAUGUUGCCCAGGCUGGUCUUGAACUUCUGGGCUCAAGUGAUGGCCUUGAACUUUGGUCUCCCAAAAUGCUGGGAUUAUAGAUGUGAGCCACCUCGCCUGGCCUCUGGUUCUGUUAUUAUCCCAAUUUCACAGACUGGGGAUACUGAAACUGUGCAGCAGAAAGAUUAUUAACUUUGGAGGCAGAUAGGCUUAGACUCAAACCCUA